rnacentral:rRNA from 1 species
GAUGAACGCUGGCGGCGCGCCUAACACAUGCAAGUCGAACGGCACCCCUCCUCGGAGGGAAGCGAGUGGCGAACGGCUGAGGAAUACGUGGUGAACCUGCCCCCUCCCCCGGGGUAGCCGCCCGACAGGACGGGGAAUACCGGAGACCCCGGUGUGCCGCCAGGCACCCCGGCUAAAGCCCCGACGGGAGGGGAUGGCUCCGCGGCCCAUCAGGUAGCCGGCGGGGGGAUGGACGACCGUGCCGAGAACAGGUAGCCGGGUGGUGGGACCGACCGGCCAGCCUGGGACUGAGGCACGGCACCGGCACCUACGGGAGGCAGCAGUGGGGAAGCUUGCGCAAGGCGGGCAGCCCUGACGAAGCGACGCCGCGUGCGGGACGGCGGCCUUCGGGUGGUAAACCGCUUUCAGCAGGGAAGAGUCAUGACUGUACCUGCAGAAGAAGCCCCGGCUAACUACGUG